UCUGAAGCUCAGAGUGUAAAUUUGAGAAUCAUCAGCAAAUAGGAAGUAUUGAAAGCCAGAAGCCUAGAAGUAUCCCCAGGGAAAUGGUUUGGAGAGAGGCCUACGAUAGGCAAAACUAGGUCAUCAGUCACUGGGAAGUCAGUAAAAGAUUAAGGUGUGGCUGGUAAGGCAGGAGGGCUUGGAGACACUGGUUUCAUGAAAGCCUGGAAAGAAAAUAUCAAACUGGAAGGCGUGGUCCACUGUGCUGAAUGCUCCUGGGUGGGGGAGGAACAGGUGGACAGACAAGUAACCACCGAAUCUGGUGAUACGAGGGCUCUCUGAAACCUUGACCAGAGCGAUUUCAGUUUGUAGUAGGUAUUGAAUGCUGGCUGGAUGGGUUUGAGGAAAACAUGGGAUGCGGGCAAUCAGAGACAGCAAAUACAGAAAGGCCUCUUUUGAGAAAUUUUGGUGCAAAAUGAAUGGGUCAGAAACACAGGCUCAUGGCCUUUGAACUCCCUUUCAAUCCUGAGGAGCCCAUGAGGAAUUUCUUCCUGAUAGCUCACUGGAAAGCUGGAUACUGCAUAAUAGAAAUCCAUGCUGUAGCUUUAAGACAAAACAAAAUUAAAAAGAAAGAUUGCAGCCAAAGAGAGGCAAGGGUAGAUUUUCAAAUGGGUUCCUCCAUGUUGUAGGAAGAGCUGCAAACCCGUAACGCCCGCAGUUUCCUUUCUGCGGGGUGUGCACACAAGCUCUUCCUUCCAUACUUGCCCAAGGAAGCUUGUUCAUGCAAACUUCUGAAUUUGCUGCCAAAUAUAAAUGUGGGACCCAAAGAAUUGUUACAGAAAAAACUGGAAAACCUGGACUGAAUCGCUCACGGAAGAACCAAGCGGCACUCGGAGGUCCUAGAGUGUUGAGGUUUUAUCUUACACCGGUGGGCUCAGAGAGGAGUCAUCUCCCAAGGUCUGAGCUCUGAGCGCAAGCAAGGGGAGCAAUUUAUAUUAUUUUGAUAUGUGGCGUUGUGGCAUGUGCAGGGCAAAAGGGGAGCCUGGAGGAGGGGAGGAGGGGGCUGGGAGUGCUUUGCUGACUGCCAACCGGAGGAAAAAAGCGGUUUGCUGACCUUGACAGCUGUGUUGAAUAUUUUCCUUAUCGGAAUAAGCAGAUUUCUGUAAACAGGACACAAAUGCAUCUUGUAGAAGGAUACAAAGUAUCAUUUUUGUUUCAAAUUUUGUAUUUCUUUUCUGGAAAACAUUUAAUUUGUUAUUACAAAACAGUCAUGCACACAAACCCUAUUGUUAGUUUUUAAAAAAUAUUUAACCACAGACUGUAAGGAAGACAUGGAGAUAAUUUUGUAUCUAACAUGAUGGUCUUCAAAAUAGAUUACAUGAUGCCAAAGUCUGACUUGGAACCAUUUGCUCUCCUAUUUCACAGAGCAGCAUCCUGGCUCCUGAGGUUGCAUGUCUUCCUGGACCUAUAAGAAGGAACUGCUCUGCUGUGGGAAUUGCUGCAUUCCUGGUUGGGACCAGCAUGCUGCUUGGCUUUGAAUGUUCCCAAAGCCUCAGCUUGUCCAGGAGGGGAAGGCUUCUGUCCCCACACUCUGCGUGCCUGGGCAACAGCCUCCUUAAAGACUCCGACAAAGAGUGACAACAGGACUGGGGACGACCACAUUUUUGACCUGACUUUAGCUAAUGGAACACAUCUAACAUAGUGACAUAAGGAGCUCAAAGAUAAGGCACCCCUAUAAAAGGACCCGGCUGGGCCAUGUAAGCCAGCUGUCUUUGAGGAUUCCACUGCUUGACAUGAAGAAACAGCUGCAGAGGAGAUAUCAGGUCUUGGGGAUAUUUCCCUUUAAACGUAUCUUGUUUUUGUUUUUUUGAGGUGGCUGAGGAGGAUAGCUUUCAAUUACCACUCAUGAAAAGUAGCUGUUGCGUUCUGUGUUCCACACCACCUCCCCUCAGCCCCCCUGAGGCCUCUGUGGCGGCCAGGAGGGCACACCCUUCAGCUCCCUGGCAGCGCCCACCUCCAGCUGCUGUGGAGCCCCUCAGCAUUUCCAGCUCAGGGCUUUUUGAGGGUUUGGUAGUUCACUUCUCCUAGACACAGGCAGCCCAAAGUGCCAGGCGUGUUACUGGGGAACUUCCUGCCAUGGAGGACGGAAAGUGAGUGGGAAAAGGCUGCCUUCUCUGGUUCUUCAGAGCUGCAAUUCUGGGGGUGCUCUCCACCAUUCCUCAGAGGGUCCCAGUUGCCCACGGUAAUAACCAGUGGAUUGGUGCUUCCUCUACUGUCUUCUUUCUCCUCUCCUCUCCCCUCUGCCCCACUUGUGCAUCCUAGGAUCCCUUCCCAAAAAGGCCACUUGGACCCAAGACACAAGUCUCUGUCUGAGGUUUUGGUUUGGGGAGAACCUAAGCUAACUCAUACAUCAGUGAGUAUGAUGGGAACUGGUUUUUCUUUAACAUUAAGAAAUAAAGCUGCUCCUUUGCUGAACAAAGGGAAAAGGGAGACUGCCACCAUUGGGAAGAGGAGCUAUCCUUGAAGCUGAAGAGGUGGAAACACUGUUCUGAUUGUUAGUAACUAAGUUAAGCCCCAGUGUUGCCUGUUAAUAUAGGCCAGGGGCUGCUGGUGGCUGGGGGAGGAACAGCUGGGCUCAUUUUGAGCAUGGAGGGGGUCCACAGAAUGUGGAGGCGGAAUGUGUGAGUGGGGAGACGCUAAGGCAGGUACAAAAUGUCCAAAGUAGACCAUGAAGGCCUGGGGAGCCCAAACUGAGGUUCCAGAGUCAGAGAACUAGGUGAAUCAGUGAGGUAGCCUUGUGAAGCAGGGGUGCUCUAGAUUAAUUGCAGAAACCAAGAGUGAGGCCAGGUAAAAGCUUGUAUCCAUUCCCGGCAUUUGUGUGAGGGACCCUGGACGGAGCCAUGACCCUAAUAAACCCAUGUGUCUAAUCACAGCGCCCUCCGGGGCGGCAGGUCUGUUAGUAUGGAAAAGAAAAGGAAAUGGAGGGGAGACAAGAACACAUGCAUCCCCAGGGCAUGAAUUCAGUCCACAGAGAGGAAGGGCAAACAAAGGUCACGGGCAGCAAAGCUGGACUUCCAAGAACAAGCAACAGAAACCAAGAAGCAGACGAUCACCUGCCUUCCUUUCUGCGGGAUUUUUAUGAGGUUGACUUUUUCUCAUUUAUUUCUGGGUCUACAUAGAAAAUGUAAUUACAGUGUUUCUGGAAAAAGGACUAUUUUUCCUGGUGCUACAGCUCGGUAACAAUUUUAAUUCCACAAGAACUGGGCAGUCAAUGACAGGUACAGCUGUCAAUGUUGGGCAGCAGAUACCAUGGGAUGAGUCAGCAUCUCCUGUGUGGGAGGCAGCGAUCAGAGCACGUCCUGGACCUGCAGUGUAGGAAUCUUGACAGGACUUCAGAUGGUUGUAUUAUUGCAGCCUGGACAACCCGUAUCCUACCCCCAAUCAAACCAAACCAAAAAUCCUACCUGAGACCCCCCCGCCCCAAACUGUAGGGAUUUAUCUGUGAUCCUGUAAUUUCUAGACAGUUCCUGGUAGUUUUAGCUCAAUAAUUAUAAUAAUCAGACAGAACUAUUAUUGUAAAUCAUCACAGCUGUUAUUUUGUAAGGAUAGGAUGCAGUUUCCUGAUUAAGGACCUAACCUCUAAUUUUAACAAAAAUACUUGUUCAUAAUUCCUCUUCUCCAAUGGCUCCUUUGCAAUGUUAAUUUCAAACACUGCUGUACGUGCUGACCACAGGGAUUUAACUGCCAAGACCUAAAAAUGAAACUCACUGAGUGCAUGAAAACGUCCCUCAUGACCAUGUGAAAAAUUAAUUUGAAACAAAGCUGAGGAUCCCAGAGAUGAGUGGCCAUUUAUAGAACAAUUCAAUGUACACCUCUACAUGCUUUUUAAAUUAGCAGUAGGUGUUAGCAUGAAAACUACUCUUUCUCUACAAAUAAUCCAAAGCCUUUGGAUUAUCACCAAUAAACUAGGUGCCUCUAGGCCUGUCUGCCCAAUACAGUAGCCACCUGAUGCCAUGGAGCACUUGGAAAUGCAGCUAGUCUGAACUGAGAUGUAUUGUUAAAUAUAAGACAUAUCAUAUUUCAAAGAUUUGCAUGAAAAAAGAAUGUAAAACAUCUCAUUAAUCAUUUUUUGCAUUGAUUACAUGCUGAAAUGGUACCACUUUGGACAUACUGGAUUAAAGAAAAAAUGCUAUUAAAAUUAA